UUAAGUUAAUUUAUAAAUGCAAUAUUAUACAUUUUAUAAACAUAUUUAAUAAUGAUAAGUAAAUGUAAGUCUAAAUCAGGGAUGGGCAACUGGCAGCCCCGGAACCGCACAGUUCCCUCGUCCACACUCAGUGCAGCCUGCAAAUUGAACAAAAUAAUUUACUAUAAUAUAAUAUUAUAGUUGUAUGAAUGUCACGUUGAUCAGCAAGUUUGUUUGGGUAUAAAAUAUAUAAAACGUGUACAACCUAUGUACUAUAAUAUUAUUUUAUAGUAGUAAAUGUAUGUAUGCAUAUUAAAUACGAUUUAAAAAAAGGGAAUUAGGAAGAGGAUUAGCAAGUUUAUUUUAGUAUCUAUUAAUAAAAUAAUUUGAAAUAAAAUAAAUAAUACGGGUAGUUCUAGUCUAAUAUAUGCUAAUCUAAAAAAAAAAAGCAAAAAAUAGCAGGGCCCAGAUUACCUUUCGCUUUAGAGAAGAAAAAUUAAACAGCUAUGGCCACUAGCAGCGGCAAAAAGAGAAAACUUGACCGAGAAAAUUUCACUUAUUUGCCAAAAUUGGAAGAAGAGUAUCUUUUAACCAAUUUCAAAUGGAAACCAAUGUGUCUAAUUUGCUUGAAGACAUUAUCUGCCCAAAAAGAUUACCAUAAAGUAGUCAUUGUGGGAUUGGAGAAGUGUUUAAUAAGAGUACAAUGAAAAUGAACAAAGCAUUUGGUGACAAUAACAGGGCUAAAAACUUUGAAACUGUGUCUUUGUCCAGACGCACAGUAACACUGAGGAUUUUUGUCAUCCACGAUCAUGUCGAGGAAAAACUGAAACAAGUCAUGCCGGACUUCAAGUCUUCUCAUUAGCUUUAAAUGUGAGUACAGAUAUGAUGGAUGUUAGCCAACUACUGGUUUUUGUACGAACGUUUGAUGAUGCAUUUGUCUGCACGAGAAGUUAUUGAAAUUGGCAUCUUUGCACGUCACCACUAAAGGCAGCGAUAUAUUCAGCGCCGUUACCAGUGUUGUGAGUGAAUAUUGUGGCUUGAAAAAGCUGUCUACUGUUGUUACGGAUAGGUCACCUGCAAUGCAGGGAAGAUAAAGGAGUUUCGCUGGGAUAAUCAGGCAGACCGGUGUAAACUGCCCUAUACUGGAUUGUAUCAUCCAUAAGGAAGCCCUCUACACAAAGUCGCUGAAAUUGGGCCAUGUCAUAGAUUUGGUUACAAAAGUCACCCUUAUAAUCUGAAGAGGGAACAGAUCUUUAUCUCCCAGUAGGUUAAUUCUCUUUUGGAUGAAGUGAAUGCCUAAUAUUGUUACUUAAAACUGCAUACAGAUAUCAGGUGGAUGAUUAAAGAAAAGUGUUGAGAGAGGUUUUUUCACUACGCUCGGAAAUGCCAUUUUUCUUGUUGAACAGCUUUUAGUUGUGAUACAUGGGCAUAAUGUGGACAUGUCAAAGAUACAAAAUUGCGUUGUGACAUGGCCCUUCUGAAAAAAAUCACUGUGCAUCUCAAUUACCUCAACACACUCUCGCAGAUGAGAAAUCAAAUAGGGUGUGACGUCUAUUUUCACAUGAAUACAUUUCAGCACAAACUCAGGCUGUUCAUCAAAGGCCUUUCUUUCCCCCGUACUAAUUUGGCACAUUUCUCGGCGUACGCUGAGAUUCGCAAAGAGAGUCCCAAGUGCAAAAAAAAAAAUCCAGAAAUACAAAGCAGACCUCUAAAAAUUAUAGGGGCAAUUACGAUCGUUUCCAAGAUUUCCACGAAAUGGAACCACAAAUUGUGCUAUUCAUAGAUCUCUUAUCUGCUGUGGUCAGCACAAAACCAUCCAAGCUACAUCUUGAACUCUACAAGCCGACCCAUUUUUUCAAUGAAAGCGUAACAAGAGUGGAAUUUCAUUUUGGAGACUUUCAUUUUCCAUAUCUUAGAGAUUUUCCCUCUCAAUUGCCAGCAUGUUUGGGAGCACUUACAUUUGGGUGAGCAGUUUUUCCACCAUGAAGCCCAUAAAAUCCAAAGAGAGAAACAGACUCCCCGAUAAUACUCCAUUUUAUUUAUGCAGAUUGGAAAGACAAGAAUUGACAACUACUCCAUUGUGAGCCAGCAGGCCAAACCACAGAUCUAUCAGUAGAUUCAAUUAAUAUUGCUAGUAUAGAAUGUGAGGUAAUUGUACAUAUGAAGGAGUUAUAAUUCCUUUCUCCACUUUUUUUAAGCAAAUGUUUUAUAUUGUUGCUUAUUAAGGAUAUGUAAAGAUGCAUUUAUAUUUAGGAAAUAGCUGUAUGUUGGUGCAAUAAACAUACAGAUAUAAAUACAUAUAAUAUGUGUUCCUUUUGAGAAUCGUUUGUAGCGUCAGUCAUAUCUACUUAUUUGAAGUGUGUGGUCAUGUGCCCUCCAAUAAUAGUUCUGAAUUUUGUUUGGCCCUCUUUAUCAUGGAAGUUGCCCAUCCCUGGUGUAAAUGAUGUCUAUUGAAAUUAGAAAUUAUACUGUCGCAACUUAUAUUAUGAUGAUAAAUCCUGGCAAGAUAGAGUGACACAGCUGAAUAGACGUCAUACUCGUGAAAAAGAUUUAUCUCGAACCUAACUUUAUAUUUAUUUAUACUUAACCAACGUAACUCCACUCGACCAAUUAAAGAAACAUUUAAACAAAUGGAAACUCUUGCAUGUGAAAAAAACACGCUUGAUAUAAUACUAUCAAAAAUACUGUAUCUCUGAAACAACAUAUCUGCUAUCCAAGAUAAUUAUAGUGCUACUUUGUCUACUGAUACAUAUCAAUUUUCAAAAUGUGAAAAUAUUGCAAAAUUAGAAGUAAUUAUAUUGAUAUUCCCGGAAAAAUCUUACUUUGAGAGACUCUAUAUCUUUUUGUCGACUUUUGCCCACAAUUGACUACAGAUGUCCCAAAACAAUUUAGUAGAGAUAUUCCAAUUUGGGCUAUAAGGAGGCCGAAAUUAUUUUGGACAAAAAUCCAUAUUUGAUUCCAGACAGAUUUGAGUCUUUUUCCCGUGAUGGCAAAGAGCUUCAACUUGUUGAAAAUGCAAGUUUUCGAUUUCUAACUUUGUAUUUCUGGUAUUAAGGAAGGACCAAAUGUUAUAAAAUUUCGAUGAUUUAGCCAUUUGCGAAUUUCCCAUUGUUCUAUACUUUACUCUUUAAAAAAAGAGACAUUAUCUUGAUUUUCUUUUCCAAUUACUUUUCCGAUGUUUACCCAGCCCUAAUGGUAACAUCAUCAGCAUAAAGAUCAUUCCCCUCAUAUAUUCAAUAAGAAUUCCCAACCCACUUUAUAGUUUUAAUAUAGAAACGGUCAUAAUUUCUAUUGGAGCCACAAAUUCUUUUAAAGAAACCAGACACUCCCUAUCUACAACUUCUUCGUAUUAGGUAUAAUAGGAGUGCUCAUUCUUUCUUCAAUCUCAGUUAUAGAAUCUCAAUAAAAAGGAUGAGCUCGAAGAAGGUUGAAGAGUAUUUUUGGUAGUAAUUUCUUGGAUGCCCUAAGUUCAUAAUUAUAGGUAAACUAAUAUUUUUGACAAUGCAUCUAAGUUACAAAUACAUUGUUGAAAUCGAUUGCGUUGAUAGCUUAUGAAGGUUUUCUUCUUUUAAUUGUUUCAAUAUCAACCCAAAUGUUUCCCAAGAUGUCGAUAAUAUCUUUUUUUUUUUAAACUGCAUAUAUUUGUGGGUUUUUUUUUUUUUAAUUUAUUCUAUAAUUAUUCACAAAUGACUUUGUAGAUUAAAAAAACCCUCACUUUACAAGUAAGAACAUUAUUCUUCUUUUUCUUUUUUGCACAUAAAAUAAACCUUAACUAACUAUUUAAAAGCAUACCCAGUUAUUUCAAAAUAUAAGCACGUCAGCACUUCGGGGAACUCACUAUGAGAAAUUUAUUGAAAAUGGCAUUUAAUAAUAAUUGUAGAUGGGUUUGAUUUAUUUAUAAAGAAUAUUGAAAGUAAUAAAAAUAAUAUUGUUUCUUGGUGAGUAAAGCUAUGCUGUAUCAGCUCGUUUUAUUCUACCAUAUAACUCCGUUGUAAUAAAUAUCUGAGGAUAUUGAUAUAGUCUAUUUGAGAGGUCAUAAUGGGGACAAUUAAAGUAACAUUAAACAAUUGAAGGCCCUAAGUUAUACACGGUUGCCAAUAUAAAUCCGGACAAAAUUCAAAAUUGUCUUUCUAAAAUGGUAGGCUAUAUAGAGAUAUAAGCAAUACAACAACAAAUAUUUGUUUGACAUUUAUGUAUUAUUUUAUUCAAUUUAACUGCCCUCAGUGGCAAUCUCUUUCUCGAUCCUGGCCCUGAAGCUCUUGCAGGCAUUUUCCACAUCUGUAGCAGAAGUCUUUGCCUACUCCUUCUUCAUGGUUACCUUCAGGCUGUCCAUACUGUUGGGGUACUUUUAGCAGAUCUCCCUUUCCAACUUUUCAUAGAAGAAGCAUUCCAACGGAUUGCAAUCGGGAAAGUAGUAGGGACAGGGCUUAGGGGUCAGAAAUCUUAAAAGUUGAUCCUGAUGGACUCUUGGCUGACAUUUUGUACGUGUUGCUUGCACCCACGGAGGCACAGUGGACCUCAAGUCUCCACAUACACUGUAGAAUUGACCUUUCCUCCCUUAUUGAAGAAGAAUAGUGCCAUGACCCUUUCCUGUGCUGGUGAUGGAACUCAAGAUCAUGAUGGAGUUGGAGUUCUUGGACUUGUCAUCAUAGGGGACAGUGUCCUUGGACAGAAAGAGCCAUCUCUCAUUUUCAGAGUUUCUUUUGCUUUCAAUAGUGAAUAUUUUCUCAUCUGAGAAAAUGAUGGUGUAACCUGCAUUGUACGCCUUGACCCUAUAGAACAGAGUCUUACAGUGGGCCAACCUGACUUCCUUCUGUUUUUCAGUCAACAGAUAACUUGUAGGAUGGCAUACCCAGCUCUCCAAUGCCUUUUAGAUGGUGCUGCGAGCCUAACUCUACCUCCUGGACAAUGUUGUCUGAUUCAAGGAUGGAUCAGCCGUCACGGUCCUCUUCAGGGCUAUGUGGGGAUUUUCCCUACUUUUCCUCAUAUUUGAACCUGGUGUAGAUGUUGUGGACAGUGCUCCUGGUGUCUCCCGGGAUCUUAGCAAUAGCUAAUGCUCCAUGCCCUGCACGAGCGAGUUCGAAAGCAGUCGAUAUUUUGGUUUAUUCCGUGACUCUUAGUGUUGAAUUUGAUACAAAAACGGAAGAAUAUUAUGCACAAGACUCCAGCCUCUUAAUUGAGACACUCUUAUGUGAACUCAGUGCAAGCAUACCUAUCUUAUUAUCGAUUGAAUUUUGUCCAGAUUUAUCUAGGCAGCCCUGUAGCUGGUAUUUUUUAAUAUCUCAUCCCAUCCUACAAAUUUGAACAUAAACCCCAUAAUGGACCAAAUAUGUCUAUAGAAUUUCACUAUUAUAUUUAUUAAAUAAAUAAAUAAAAGGGGAAUUUCUCAAUAACUUGAUUUUAUUUAAGCGUCCUUUUUAGUUUGCUCACCGAUAUAUUAUUUUACACAUUUCAAAAUAUUAUAGAUAUAACUUAAUGUAUUUUAUUGAAAUUGACUUAAAAACUAUUCAAUAUAAAAAGACUCUUUUUAAGAACAUUUAUAAUCUUUAAGUUUUAUUUUAUACGAGCUUGCGUCAUUUUAAAACUAAACAUAAAA
rnacentral:lncRNA from 1 species